UACGGGGGGGGCAAGCGUUGUUCGGAAUUACUGGGCGUAAAGGGUGCGUAGGCGGUUCGCUAAGUUAGAUGUGAAAACUCUGGGCUCAACCCAGAGCCUGCAUCUAAAACUGGCGGGCUAGAGUUCUGGAGGGGGUAGUGGAAUUUCCGGUGUAGCGGUGAAAUGCGUAGAUAUCGGAAGGAACACCUGUGGCGAAAGCGGCUCACUGGACCAUUACUGACGCUGAGGCACGAAAGCUAGGGGAGCAAACAGG
rnacentral:rRNA from 1 species